rnacentral:lncRNA from 1 species
AUUAUUUAUAUAUUAUUUAAAAACACCUUACUCUGUACAUAUUCUUGCAUAUGUUUUUGGACAUAUUUGCCCAUCUUUAUAGGUUCCACGCAUGCACACCAUGCACAGUAAUCAAAUCACGGCAACAAGAGUUUUCCUAUCUUUGAACACUGGUCACUUUUAGGUGCUGGAGAAUUCGUGCCCUUCUCUCCUGGUCACUGUGAAAUGUGUCAUAGGUUGUUUUAGCUGCUGGUCACCUUGCCUUGCUAAAGAAGAACCAGAAGCGACUCCUCCUCUCCUAUCCCUUGCUGACCUUCUACCUGGCUCCUGGUUCUUUGAUUGCCUCCUGCUGUCCCCUGUUGGAGCUCUGUGCCCCACAUUGGCCAGGUUCAGCGCGACCCAAAGUCCUCAGACUCAUCUAGCAGACACCACUGAACAUCAAACCUCCCCGAGCUUACAGAUGUGGUAACAGAGGCUGAGAGAGGCCACGUGGCCCAGUACCCGCUCCGGCCACCUAUCUUCC